AUCCGCGUGGUGCAGUGGUUAGCAUGGUGCUGUAAGUAAUUACAAAUAUGUUUCAUCUAGUUCGUCACCACAGUUUACUAACAAAUCAAAUAGCUUAUACUUUCUCGGUAUUGAGGAAUGCAUAGGUCGUGGGUUCAAUCCCCACCGUGGAUA